CUGGAAAGUUCUUUGUUCUGCCUUUUUGCUCCAAAUGGCAAGAGAAAGGCCACAAAAUCUGAGACAUCUCUUUGCUCUUCUCUUUGAGAGUCUUGCUUGAGCUUGUAGGCCCGGUCGUUAGCAAUCACUUGUGACAAGGGCAUUCCAAAAGCCUGGGGAACAAACUCUUUGUCCUUGUUCUUCUCCUUCCCUAAUGAGUCCAGUUUCUUUCUUAGUGAUUUCUUC
rnacentral:lncRNA from 1 species